rfam:Angiostrongylus cantonensis strain Taiwan genome assembly, scaffold: ACAC_scaffold0000186
CCAACGGCCCUCUUUAGGGCCACAUUCGAUGUUAUCUAUCUUUGAAU